AUUGAACGCUGGCGGCAUGCCUAACACAUGCAAGUCGAACGGCAACACAGUCUAGCUUGCUAGAUGGGUGGCGAGUGGCGAACGGGUGAGUAACGCGUAGGAAUAUGCCUUAAAGGAGGGGGACAACUUGGGGAAACUCAAGCUAAUACCGCAUACACUCUACGGAGAAAAGCUGGGGACCUUCGGGCCUGGCGCUUUAA
rnacentral:rRNA from 1 species